CUGUGAUGCCCUUAGAUGUUCUGGGCCGCGCGCGCGCUACACUGACAGAGCCAACGAGUUCUUUCCCUUGGCCGGAAGGUCUGGGUAAUCUUGUUAAACUCUGUCGUGCUGGGGAUAGAGCAUUGCAAUUAUUGCUCUUCAACGAGGAAUGCCUAGUAAGCGCGUGUCAUCAGCACGCGUUGAUUACGUCCCUGCCCUUUGUACACACCGCCCGUCGCUACUACCGAUUGAAUGGCUCAGUGAGGCCUUCGGACUGGCUCGAGGAGGUUGGCAACGACCACCUCGAGCCGGAAAGUUGGUCAAACUUGGUCAUUUAGAGGA
rnacentral:rRNA from 1 species